GGUGUAGUGGCUUAAGGGGUAGAGUGCCUGCCUAAUAAGCACAAGGCCCUUGGUUCAAAUCCCAGCACCA
rnacentral:tRNA from 1 species